GGCGAGUGAAGCGGCAACAGCUCAAAUUUGAAAUCUGGCCCCCGGGUCCGAGUUGUAAUUUGUAGAGGAUGCUUUUGGUGCGGUACCUUCCGAGUUCCCUGGAACGGGACGCCAUAGAGGGUGAGAGCCCCGUCUGGUUGGACGCCAAACCUUUGUAAAGCUCCUUCGACGAGUCGAGUAGUUUGGGAAUGCUGCUCUAAAUGGGAGGUAUAUGUCUUCUAAAGCUAAAUAUUGGCCAGAGACCGAUAGCGCACAAGUAGAGUGAUCGAAAGAUGAAAAGCACUUUGAAAAGAGAGUUAAAAAGUACGUGAAAUUGUUGAAAGGGAAGCGCUCAUGACCAGACUUGGGCCCGGUUGAUCAUCCAGGGUUCUCCCUGGUGCACUCUUCCGGCCCAGGCCAGCAUCAGUUCGCUGUGGGGGAUAAAGGCUUCGGGAAUGUGGCUCCCUCGGGAGUGUUAUAGCCCGUCGUGCAAUACCCUGCGGCGGACUGAGGUUCGCGCAUUCGCAAGGAUGCUGGCGUAAUGGUCAUCAGCGACCCGUCUUGAAACACGGACCAAGGAGUCGUCUUCGUAUGCGAGUGUUCGGGUGUCAAACCCCUACGCGUAAUGAAAGUGAACGCAGGUGAGAGCUUCGGCGCAUCAUCGACCGAUCCUGAUGUUCUCGGAUGGAUUUGAGUAAGAGCAUACGGGGCCGGACCCGAAAGAAGGUGAACUAUGCCUGUAUAGGGUGAAGCCAGAGGAAACUCUGGUGGAGGCUCGCAGCGGUUCUGACGUGCAAAUCGAUCGUCAAAUAUGGGCA
rnacentral:rRNA from 1 species